AAUUAUAGAAUACAGUGCCCUCAUAUAUGUCCGAUGAUACGGUUCGGAUGUCUCUACCAAGUCACCGGAAAUGACUUGACUAUGAAGGCGGAUGACGCAUGC
rnacentral:ncRNA from 1 species